UUUUAUUAAAGGAAAAUCAUAUAAUAGGAAUUAAUUAAUUUUAAGGUAGUAAUUUAAAUUAAUUCAAGUAUAAAUAUACAUAAUAUUAUUCUAAAUAAUAUAUAACUUAAUGGAUAGUUAAUAUAAAA
rnacentral:RNase_P_RNA from 1 species